GGCGGCAUAGCCAAGCGGUAAGGCAUGGGUCUGCAACACCCUUACCACCGGUUCGAGUCCGGUUGCCGCCUCCA
rnacentral:tRNA from 9 species